rnacentral:rRNA from 1 species
GGGGGAUAACCAUUGGAAACGAUGGCUAAUACCGCAUAACCUCGCAAGAGCAAAGCAGGGGACCUUCGGGCCUUGCGCUACCGGAUAUGCCCAGGUGGGAUUAGCUAGUUGGUGAGGUAAGGGCUCACCAAGGCGACGAUCCCUAGCUGGUCUGAGAGGAUGAUCAGCCACACUGGAACUGAGACACGGUCCAGACUCCUACGGGAGGCAGCAGUGGGGAAUAUUGCACAAUGGGCGCAAGCCUGAUGCAGCCAUGCCGCGUGUAUGAAGAAGGCC